CAAGCCAUGAAACUUGUUCCCCUGAACCAUUGCAAUGAGACCGCUUUUGAUCUCAAAGUUGUUGUUAUGUACUGGAGGUGGAACAAUUCCAUGACGCUAGUUGUGGUUGUGAGGGAAGUCAUCAGCACCAAUGUUGGUAGGUUUCUCUUGCUCAUCUACAAUGCCAGCCAUUGUGUCUGUUUCUGUCUGUUAUCUCUGUUGGCGAGCAGUACGGUCGAUGUUAUCGUUGAAUAGGAGGUUCUGAUUUCCUUGUGGCCGUGUAUGCAUGCAACAUAUAGCAGCCUGGCUAUGAAAGACGAAUCAGAGAUGUGUCUGUAAAGAGGGUUGCAAGGUACCAAAAACACAAAGACAGAAAAGGCACAAUGUUAGUAACUUGUGUAACAAAAACGAACUUGAUCUUAACGUUUCUAAUGAUCUAAAAUAUAGCAAACAAACACCAAACUCGCAACGGCACCAAAUUGAUAAUAGGAUUUUUAGUCAAUUAAUCCUAAAACACUAUCCUGUCGUUGUAGUAUUUUAGGUUGUCAAUCUAAUCUGGUGUGAUGCAAACAGAUGAGAUAUGAUUAGAAAGCUCUAAGUCAAGCCAAUCAGAGAGUUGGUUGGUUCUAACAGUCCUAGUAUGCAAAAACAGAAAUGAAAUGAAACUAAAAGCAUAAAUGGCAAUAACAGGCAGGUGAAUAACUAAGCAGAAAUGAUAACAGGCAGUCAAAUGGAUAAACGAUUCCUAAGGAUGGGGUAAUCGAAUAGUGUGGUCUCCUUAAUCUAUUCAGGCGGUUGAAAAAACUUCACAGAAGCUAUCCCAAGACAACAAGUUCAACAACCGAUUAAUUCAAUCCCGUGAUAGAAAUCCUCAAGCAAAGCUAGACACUGACCUAAUUCCCAUUAGCGAUCUCUAACUAAGCAGGCAUUAUCGAAUCAACUUGUUAAAGCCAAAACCCUCUCUACAGCCAAUCCCUUGGGGUAGAGGCAGAUAUCUCUAGAAUUAAUAGGAUCCAACGCCCAUUAAACGCCUUCUGAGCGCUGGACGUCUGGACUCAUAUUCCACAUUAGCCAGUGAAACAAGCAAUAAGCGCAACUAAUCCAGAAGGGAUUCUAGUAUUCUAAACUCAACCACCUAAAACGACCAAGUAAACCACAACUAAUCUAUCCCAUCCUCAUAAAUACGGUUCACUACUUAGACAUAAUCAAAGACAAUAGCCAAGCAACGAUUGAAACUAAUAACAAAAAGGCUUAAACGAAAAUUGAAUAUCAAAUACUUGAAAGUGAAAAAAUACAAAGUCGGAGGAGAAACACUACGGCUAUGAAAGUUGCGAAAUGUAAAAGUGGAUGAAAAACGAGAUAAAAAAUGAUUGCCCUAGGGAAAACCCUAAGAGGCUACUUAUAUCAGGGAAAAUGAAACAAAUAAGGAAACUAGAUAUAUAGCUAAUCUUCACGUUAUGACCCUGCGAUCGAAUGUGUCAUUGGCAUCUGAUGGGCUGAUAUGAGCUUCCCAGUGAUCGAGUAUGUCAUUGAUCAAACUUGGCUUCAGGGACUCCGCCUUGCGAUCGAGUGAGAUGCUGUGAAGACAAGAUUGAAUGGUCUAGCGACCCUGUAAUCGAGUGCGAUCGAGUGGAUGUCAUGAGGUGGCUAUCGAGUGGUUGCUUCGGCUUCUCUUCUCUUCUUCGUUCUCAGCUUGUCUGGUUGAGUGCAGAACGAGCAGAUAGGCCUCUUGGUGAUCGAGUGGUUCUGAUGGGGUGAUUCCUCCGGCUUCGCGAUUGAGUGAAACUGAGCUGCUAGCUUCUCCGGGGUUUCGAUAGAGUGAUUUGCCCUGGCAGGGCUCCGAGGCUGCGAUAGAGUACUUUUGCUGAAUGCGUCAUUGGGCAUUUUGACUUUCCGUUCUGUUUCUCCUUUGUUUGAACUCCAAAAGCAUCAAAGGUACCUGAAAACAACCAAAUAUGCAAUGUACAUGCAAUCCUAAUGCAAAAUCGUCCUAAGUAUGCAAAAGACACUAAAACGACUCCUAAUGAGAUGAAAUGUGGAUAAAACAAUGACAAAGUGGUGAAGAAUGAAUGCCUAAAUCAUGCAAAUUAUAGACAUCUCAUUGGCCUUUGUAGUGAACCGUGCUAUCGUGGGGUCUUGUAACAAUGUUACUUGAUCGCCAUGAAGUGCGAAGAACUCAGAGAGACAGGGUUAGCUACCCUGGCCGAGUGUCUACACGACGGUGUAACGUUUGGUAGUGAUGCUCCGGUUAUUUACCUUUGUGGUUGUAACACGGGAGAUCACGGGAGUGUGUGUGUUUGGUGUUGGGAUUGAAGGCAGCAUAUCGGGCUCUUUAAAACUUAAU
rnacentral:sRNA from 1 species